rnacentral:rRNA from 1 species
GAUGAACGCUGGCGGCGUGCCUAAUACAUGCAAGUCGAGCGAACGGACGAGAAGCUUGCUUCUCUGAUGUUAGCGGCGGACGGGUGAGUAACACGUGGAUAACCUACCUAUAAGACUGGGAUAACUUCGGGAAACCGUAGCUAAUACCGGAUAAUAUUUUGAACCGCAUGGUUCAAAAGUGAAAGACGGUCUUGCUGUCACUUAUAGAUGGAUCCGCGCUGCAUUAGCUAGUUGGUAAGGUAACGGCUUACCAAGGCAACGAUGCAUAGCCGACCUGAGAGGGUGAUCGGCCACACUGGAACUGAGACACGGUCCAGACUCCUACGGGAGGCAGCAGUAGGGAAUCUUCCGCAAAGGGCGAAAGCCUGACGGAGCAACGCCGCGUGAGUGAUGAAGGUCUUCGGAUCGUAAAACUCUGUUAUUAGGGAAGAACAUAUGUGUAAGUAACUGUGCACAUCUUGCCGGUACCUAAUCAGAAAGCCACGGCUAACUACGUG